AAUUUAAAUAAAUGUAUAGAUGCAUGUUAUUGUUGCUUCAUGUUUACUGUAUAUAUUGUUGACCACGAUGAGAUUUAACAUGAAUGGUUAAUCUAUGCAUUUGAGCAUAUAUUUUUCCAUUCAGUCCAAAAUUUUAAAGUCCACUCAUUGCGGGUUUUCCAAGGCUUGUACAGAUCGGAAAUCUCGGGUGUCAGCGCAUUGUAUCUCAACACACUCAUAGUCUUAUUGAUUGCGUUGUACAAUAAAGCACUUAUUAUUUUCAGGUAGCAAAGGUCCAGAGCCUGACCUUUUACUGGUUUAUGGACCUGUGAGGAGCCAUCUUGGUUUUCCUGCAUGGAGACUUCCUUACACAGAGAUCAUACAUAUGGGAUCAUUGAACUUCAUGAGAUAUGGUUCCUUAAGAAAAGCUAUUUACAACUACACGAAAGUGCAUCAAAAUUAUGGUUCGUAAAGAAGGAAUUUGGAAGUAGUUGACAGAGCAGCACAAAUCACACGCACGAAGAAUAGAAAAACACUUGGCUAUAUCUUUCUGGAUAAAGGGCUUUCUCGCUAGUAAUGUGUAAAUGUGUCAGAAUGAGAUAGAAUUGCAUGUCAUGACUUAAUUUUACUAACUGUUUAUAUAUAUAUAUAUAUAUAUAUAUUAUAUAACAAGCUUCAA